rnacentral:rRNA from 1 species
GAUGAACGCUGGCGGCGUGCCUAAUACAUGCAGGUCGAGCGAACAGACGAGGAGCUUGCUCCUCUGACGUUAGCGGCGGACGGGUGAGUAACACGUGGAUAACCUACCUAUAAGACUGGGAUAACUUCGGGAAACCGGAGCUAAUACCGGAUAAUAUAUUGAACCGCAUGGUUCAAUAGUGAAAGACGGUUUUGCUGUCACUUAUAGAUGGAUCCGCGCCGCAUUAGCUAGUUGGUAAGGUAACGGCUUACCAAGGCAACGAUGCGUAGCCGACCUGAGAGGGUGAUCGGCCACCCUGGAACUGAGACACGGUCCAGACUCCUACGGGAGGCAGCAGUAGGGAAUCUUCCGCAAUGGGCGAAAGCCUGACGGAGCAACGCCGCGUGAGUGAUGAAGGUCUUCGGAUCGUAAAACUCUGUUAUUAGGGAAGAACAAAUGUGUAAGUAACUAUGCACGUCUUGACGGUACCUAAUCAGAAAGCCACGGCUAACUACGUG